GAGGAUGCGAGCGUUAUCCGGAUUUAUUGGGUUUAAAGGGUGCGUAGGCGGACUGUCAAGUCAGCGGUAAAAUUGAGAGGCUCAACCUCUUCGAGCCGUUGAAACUGAUUCACUUGAGUGAGCGAGAAGUAUGCGGAAUGCGUGGUGUAGCGGUGAACUGCAUAGAUAUCACGCAGAACUCCGAUUGCGAAGGCAGCAUACCGGCGCUCAACUGACGCUGAAGCACGAAAGCGUGGGGAUCA
rnacentral:rRNA from 1 species